CCUAAGUCACCGCUCUCUCUCAUUUCACACCCCACCCGGCCCGGUCGUAUACACAACUCCACCCCCUGGACCAAAGCCGCCGCCGCCGCGUUGCCGCCCCGUCGCCGCCCCUCACCAGCACCAAGGUCAUGGCCAAUUUUGAAGGCAACAACGAAUCAGUGUGCGAUGUGGACAUGGCCAACAAUGAAUUCUUAAACACUUAUGAGUAUAUCAUCAAGAGCGUGCAAGGGGAAAAUGACGAGCUAAAGGGGGAGAUUAAAGAGCUACGCAAGGAGACUGUUCGGCUCGUUCAGGAGACUAAUCAGCUUAGGGACAAGAGGGAUAAGCUCGUCGAGAAUCGGGAUAAACUAAAGGAGGAGAGGAGACUCCUCAGGGCUGAGAGGAUUGACCUGAAGAUGGGCAUAGAUCAUUAAAGCAGAGAAGGAGAGGGGGAUAGAAAGAAGCUUCGCCAGCUGGGCAUACUCCUUGAUGAAGAUUAGUUUUUGGCAAUGACUGUUGGAAAUAUGCCCUAGAGGCAAUAAUAAAUGGUUAUUAUUAUAUUUCUUUGUU